CCAAAACCAACCAUCUUAAUGGUCAGCAGGGCAAAGAAUAAAUGUAGCUCGAUGCUUUUCUGUUCCAGACACAUCCAGAAGCCAGACAUGUCAUCAAAUACUGGCCAGUCAUCAAAUACUAAAUACCUGAGAAAAAGGAACUGAAGAGAAUGGUCUGGAUUCCGAAGCUAAGAACUAUUGGGAAAGGGCACUACAGUCUAUGAUUUGGGGAUUCCUGACUCAAGGAAACUCUCUCCACAGCUGGAGGGCAAGCAUGGGGUUGGGUGUGCCCAUGGGGAGUCUAUGGAAUCCAGGAUAUGCAAGGACCACAGAACCCUCGUCGCCACACACUUUCCAUUAAGCGUCUAACCCCUGCUCUGGAGACUUGUGGGGUCUCCUUGGGAUAUGAAGAAAGAGAAUACACACUAAAAAAAAAAAAAAAGAUUCUGGAGCCUGGCUGUGUUCAAA